GAACUAUUCUGCAGGCAGAGGCUGCUGCAUUCUUGAACAUAUUCACAUGGAUAAAGGAGAUCAAAUAAGAGCUUCCAAAACUGCACGAUGAUAAGAGAAAAGUAUUACAGUGCUGUUCUGCAGGCUGGACUGUGCGGUGAUCAUACAGCAGUUUGUCCAACAGAGCUCCCCAGGGCCAAAAUGCAAUCAGUAACCCUUCCCUUAGAAUCCUGGCUUCUCUGCAGAGCCACAAGAGCAUCUGAUAAUUCCCUGGCAGCCUCAGCCGUGGCCGGCCUUGUGCAAAGACGUGGAGGGAGAGAGGGAGAAUGCAAUCUUGUUCUAGCCAAAAGAAGGUUGGUGCCAGACUGUGCUGGUGCAGGAUGGAUGGCUGGAGGCAGAGAGGUCAUGAGAGCUCAAGAAAAAGCCCCUGGUGAGCCAUGCCAUGAGUGUCAGCUGUGCCUGGGCCAGAAGCAGCCCUGGCAGAGCCAGCACAGCAGGCAAUGGGACACAACAGUACAUUGCCUGUGCUGAAAUGCUAGAAAAUGACCUUUCCAUACUGUUAGCAUCUGGUGGGGCACCUAUAGCACCUACAGCUUCCUUAAGCCAAAAAGACUUUAUUGGAAAGGGUGCUUUUGGCCUGGGGCUCCUUCUACACAGGAUCUUUGCUCCUGUAAAAAGCACAGCAUAAAAUGUUGUCUGCUGAACUGGUGUUACUGUUUCAGUGAAAGUUUUGAGUGUUCUUGACUCAGUGUAAAUAAAUAAUGUAGCAAGAAUAAUACAGAGCUAAUAAUGCUAUUAUCUGGGAAUAUUGCAGCCUAAUCUCCAGCUCAAUGAAGAUAAUGAGUGUUGAAUCAUGCCUGGAGCAUCCUAAGUAAGCAUCAGUGGUUUUGAUAAAGGAUAGCAGCGGAUUUUUGGUCUCAGCCUGUUGCUUGUCUAUAGAUUUCUGAAGUGAUCUGUGUGGGUCCCUAGGCUGGCUGUGGGUCCACAUUCCUCCUGGUGGCAGAGCUGGGUCAGCCUCCCAUUGCUUUCACCCUGGGCUGGCCCAGGGAACAGGCCACAGCAGUGUGACCAAGCAAGUGGCACAUGGCCCUGGAGCAGGAUGGGGAUGCCAUCCCC
rnacentral:lncRNA from 13 species